UGUUUUGUUUUGUUUUC
rnacentral:sRNA from 1 species